UACGUAGGGGGCAAGCGUUGCUCGGAAUCACUGGGCGUAAAGCGCACGUAGGCGGAUUGCUAAGUCAGGGGUGAAAUCCUGGAGCUCAACUCCAGAACUGCCUUUGAUACUGGCGGUCUCGAGUCCGGGAGAGGUGAGUGGAACUGCGAGUGUAGAGGUGAAAUUCGUAGAUAUUCGCAAGAACACCAGUGGCGAAGGCGGCUCACUGGCCCGGUACUGACGCUGAGGUGCGAAAGCGUGGGGAGCAAACAGG
rnacentral:rRNA from 1 species